rnacentral:misc_RNA from 1 species
UACGGAGGGUGCAAGCGUUGUCCGGAUUUAUUGGGUUUAAAGGGUGCGUAGGCGGGAGAUUAAGUCCGUGGUGAAAGCCCUCAGCUUAACUGAGGAACUGCCAUGGAUACUGGUUUUCUUGAAUUCAGUUGAGGUAGGCGGAAUUGAUGGUGUAGCGGUGAAAUGCAUAGAUACCAUCAGGAACACCGAUUGCGAAGGCAGCUUACUGGGCUUGAAUUGACGCUGAGGCACGAAAGCGUGGGGAGCGAACAGG